GGAAGGGCCAUAGUGGCUCAGUGGAAAAGCAUCUGCCUUGCAUGCAGAUGGCCCCAGGUUCAAUCCCUGGUGUCUCCA